rnacentral:rRNA from 1 species
UUUGAACGCUGGCGGAAUGCUUUACACAUGCAAGUCGAACGGCAGCACGGACUUCGGUCUGGUGGCGAGUGGCGAACGGGUGAGUAAUGUAUCGGAACGUGCCCAGUCGUGGGGGAUAACGUAGUGAAAAUUACGCUAAUACCGCAUACGAUCUAUGGAUGAAAGCGGGGGAUCGCAAGACCUCGCGCGAUUGGAGCGGCCGAUAUCAGAUUAGGUAGUUGGUGGGGUAAAGGCCCACCAAGACAACGAUCUGUAGCUGGUCUGAGAGGACGACCAGCCACACUGGAACUGAGACACGGUCCGGACUCCUACGGGAGGCAGCAGUGGGGAAUUUUGGACAAUGGGCGAAAGCCUGAUCCAGCCAUUCCGCGUGCAGGAUGAAGGCCCUCGGGUUGUAAACUGCUUUUGUACAGAACGAAAAGGUUUCUACUAAUACUAGGAGCUCAUGACGGUACUGUAAGAAUAAGCACCGGCUAACUACGUGCCAGCCGCCGCCGUAA